rnacentral:rRNA from 1 species
AUUGAACGCUGGCGGCGUGCUUAACACAUGCAAGUCGUGCGGUAACAGGCGUAGCAAUACGUGCUGACGAGCGGCGAACGGGUGCGUAAUACAUGGGAAUCUGCCUUUAGUGGGAGUAACCCGGCGAAAGCCGGGCUAAUGCCGCAUAAGAUCUUCGGAUGGAAAGCGGGGGAUCGUAAGACCUCGCGCUGAUAGACUGAGCCCAUGCCGGAUUAGGCUAGNGGUGAGGUAACGGCUCACCAAGGCGACGAUCCGUAGCUGGUCUGA